rnacentral:rRNA from 1 species
GACAGAGGUGCCGAGCGUUAGGCGGAAUCACUGGGCUUAAAGCGUGUGUAGGCGGAUCGUUAAGUACCUUGUGAAAUCCCACGGCUUAACCGUGGAACUGCUUGGUAUACUGGCGAUCUUGAGCCACUUAGGGGCUACCGGAACAAAUGGUGGAGCGGUGAAAUGCGUAGAUAUCAUUUGGAACGCCAAUGGUGAAAACAGGUAGCUGGGAGUGUGCUGACGCUGAGACACGAAAGCCAGGGGAGCAAAACGGG